GACUGGGGAGGGUAAAUAGUGGAGGUGCUGCAGAUUGGGCAGUGGUGAGAGUGGGGAUUUUUGGGAGGGAGAUUCGGAUCGUCGGAACUGAAAUGGCAGCUGCCCGGCAAGAAGAAGAAUAAAGUACCCCCUGAUUAUCAUGCUCUUCCCUUCAGUCCUCUCCUCGGACCUCUUUCGCAACCAAUCGGAAUUGUCUCCAAUCUAUCUCCCUUUCUCACAACCCAGAUAAACCGAUGCUCGGAAGAUUUCAACCCGUAGAAGACAAUGUGAAGGGAAGACGAAGAUGUGAAUGGUUAUUCUUCUUGUUCUUGUUUGUCCAUGGAGGAUGAUUGAUCUGCUGACUGCUAUGGCUCAAUACUGGAUAGGUGCUUGUUUAUGGAUCUGGAAUCAGAUUUGGAUUCAGCUUUUGGAGCUGCCCAAAUUCGCGUAUUGAUAUCGAGGACGAAAGAGGAAGUCGCCAUAUGAUAUCGUAGAUCUUUAAAUCUCCAGCUACACAACACAAUCAAUAAUCAUUUUU
rnacentral:lncRNA from 1 species